UCCUGGUCGCUGGGGGUUUGUGCUGUUACUGACUCCAGAGGUCAGUGAAUCACAGAGUAUCCUGAGGAUCGUCGAGUCCAGCUCCUGGCUCUGCAGCGGACAGCCCCGAGCCUCCGCCGUGUGCCUGGGAGCGUUGUGCCGCCGCCUCUCGCCCCCGGGUGCUCCGCUCCCCUCAUGGCCGGGCGGGCGCUGCUGGCGCGGCCUUCGCCUCUUCCCUUCCCUCCUCUCCCCGCCGGCCGUGUGGGGCUGGGGGCUGCAGCCGCCCUGAGGGGUUGUGCUUGUGCCUUCCGACUGUCUGAAGGAGCCAGCAUGACCUUGCCCUGGUACUGCUGACGUGGAAUGUUUCCCUCAGCGGCUGUGCUGCGGUGGGUUCCCCGCGUUCCUGCUUGGGGCAGGAGCGGCCAGUCCUCACCGCUGGCUCUGAGGGGACAGAGCUGGGGGGACGCUGCCGACGGUGUAGGAAGCAACAAGAAACAAUUGUAUAGAAGUGCUGGAAGUAGGCAUUGAAAGGAUUGAGGAAUUGCCUUGAGAAAAUGAGGGAAUUUGGUAAGAAGUGUUUAAAAAUAAAAGGACACUUGGAAGUGUAGGCCUGAACAUGGAAGUAUCUGACAAAAUGGUGUGGAGAAACAUGAGAUAUACUGCUACACAUUCAUUGGAUGAGGAGCAAUAGAUGAGUGACCCUGUGUGAUGGGACUGGUAGUGGUGUGCAGCUGAACAUGAACGUCUGGAGGUUGUGGCUGUGCUGUGCCACUUGAACCCUAAUCUGUGACCUGUUUGCAACCCACCAAAUGACUGAAAAUACAAUUGUAUUAAAGCUGAUUGCUUAAAAAACCUUUUGAAGUUACCAGUUGCUUUUAUAAGCCUCA